ensembl:lncRNA
UGUAUGUACACGCGAACUAGUGCUUUGACGUGCAUAUAUUUUUACAAAAACAAUAAGUUGGAUGGAAUGAAAUUUUAACAUUUAACAUGCGUAAGCAGUAUAUGCACAUGAGUAUUUUAAGUCAUAGUUACAAAGGAUUAUAAAUUCUUUUUUUAUACAAACUUAUGGUAUAUAUGUACAUACAUACAUACAUACAUACAUACAUUACAUACAUACAUACAUACCUAUACGCACAUACAUACCUAUACGCACAUACGUGUACCAUAUCUUUAUUUCCUUUUUUAAGAAUGAAUGAACUUAAUAAUAAUUACAGCGUUUCAAACAAAUACGACAGUGAAGGUGAUGGAGAGGGUGAUGAUUAUAUAACAUACCCAAUUAAAGAAAAAAAAAAAAAAAAAAAAAAAAUGUUUAGUUUAUCAAAUUCUACGUCCGAAGAACAUGAAAAUGUAUAUAAUAAUAUAGACUAUUUUUUUGAUAAUUAUGAAAAAAAAAACAAAAUAAAAAAGUUUUUAAAUGGUAAUAAUACAAAUACUACAAUUAUAGAUAAAAAAAAGUCUUAUAAUAAAAAAAAAAUUAUAAAUAAUAUCAGUGAGUUUAACGAACAGAGUAAUGAAUUAUUACAGUUAAGUUCUAACAGUAACGAACAAAGUUUUUAUCAUAGUACAAACCCAAACGGAUCACCAAAUGAAUCACCAAACGGAUCACCAAACAGAUCACCAAACAGAUCACCAAAUCAACCCCCAAAUGAAUCACCAAAUGAAAACAAAAACAUACUAAAUAAUAGUCAUAAAAACCAUAUUAAUUUUAAUAAAUAUCAACAAAUAAAUAACAAUUUGUUAGUUAUGGAUUUAUGGCAACAAAACCAUGAAAAAAGUACAGACGACGGGGAUAUAAACCUAAGUAAUGAAUGUAAGGAUAUAAAUUUAACAUAUUCGCAAAGUAAAAAUAAAAUAAAUCAAUAUAAAUCGAAUAUAAAUAACAGUCAAAUUAAUCAAAAUUAUAUCAAAUUCAAAUGUAAAAAUGUACAGAAUGUGAAUGAAACUAACAAACACAAAGAAAAAGGCAUUGCCUUGAAUAAUGACUCAAAUUAUAGUUUAGGUAAUAAAAAAGUGAUUGAAAAUAAAAACAGGAAGAAUGAAAAUAUGCAAAAGUAUACAUCAAGUAGUGAUUUAUUUUGUAUAGACAAUAACAACAUGAAGAAUACUUCUAAAGUUUAUAACAAUAAGAGUAAUCACUAUAUAUCGACUGAACACAUAAAGGAAGAAAGUGGUAAUGAUAUAGUAUACAGUAACGAAUUUGGUAGUAUUAAUAAAAAAAAAAGUAAAGAAAAAAUGGUUAUAAAAAAGUUACAUUCAAGUGAUGAAAAAAAAAAAAAAAAAAAAAAAGGUGACAACACAAACAAACAUUCGAACAGUAAUAGUAACAGUAACAGUAACAGUAACAGCUGUAAUGAUCUUAGUUUCGGUAAGAUUAGUGUUUCUUCUGACAUUUAUGAUAACAAUAGUGAUGUAUUAAUAAAAGAGAAAAAUAAAAAGAGUAGUGAUAAUGAAAGUGGCAAUAACAGAACGGAUAGUACAGACAAAAUUGGAAGUACAAACUAUCGAAACAAAAGACAUACAAACAAUGACAAUAGUGACAACAAUAAUCAACCAUUAAUUGAACAAAGGUAUAUAACAAACAGUGAAAAAAAAAAAACAUUAAAAGUAGUAGAUACAAAAUUACAAAAACAUUUACGAAAAAAUACAAUUUUGGAAAAUGAAAAUGUAGAUGACGAGUCUACAUCUGUAUGUAUUAAUGACAGUACACACAGUUUGAGUGUAGAAGAGGAAAUUAAUUUACCAAUGAAUGGAGAAAGGUUAAACAUGUUAAAUGGAAAUGUUAAUAGUACAAUCAUUGAAGAAUGUUCAAUAAAUAACAAGUUGGUUGAACUUUCUAAAAGCAAAACCAAAGAUACAAUAUACAG